CAGACAGCAGCCUUCACCCUUGGCACUCACAAACAGCCCUGUGGGAAUGCUGGGGAUCUGGGGAGUAGGCACAGAAGAAUCCACAGGUCAACUGGCGCUGGUAACCUGGAAGUCACAAAAGGAACUGUGGGAAUCCAGCGUCUUCACCCGGAGAAAAGCAAGCGUUUACACUGAGUGAAGGCUCAAUCUUCUGACACUGACACCAGGGGUUCUGUUGAUCGGCUGUGUACGGUAGAGCCAGCUCUACCUGUACACGCAAAACUGUAAUUAAAUCUCAUUUCAAGCUAGUG